rnacentral:rRNA from 1 species
GCGGUGAAUACGUUCCCGGGUCUUGUACACACCGCCCGUCACACCAUGGGAGUCGGAAAUGCCCGAAGUCUGUGACCCAACCUACGGGAGGGAGCAGCCGAAGGCAGGUCGGAUGACUGGGGUGAAGUCGUAACAAGGUAGC